CUAGGCUACUACGUCUAGGCUACUACCAAUUGAAACGAUACAGAGAAAAUUAGCAUGGCCCCUGCGCAAGGAUGCAAAUUCGUGAAACGUUCCAUAUUUUU
ensembl:snRNA U6 U6 spliceosomal RNA